GUCUUGCUGGAGUUGCCUGCAUAUCUGAGGCCUUCUGAAGUUUCCUUACAUAGGUAGGAAGAACCCUGGCACCUCUUCUUCCGGUUAGCUGAUAACCUAGGCUGCUGCCAAAACAUGCUAUGGAAAUAAGAGGAGAGAAGGCAGCUCACUUGAAUGACCCUGUCAGACUUCCUGCUGUGUAUUUAAGGCAAAAUCUUUUGUUUGGGAAUGUAUGAUGAAAUGAGAGGUAUAUUAUCAAGAAAAAAUAGGAUUAUGAUAUGUACAAUAAAGAAUGAUAAAUCAUAGCCAGUGUUUAUCUCUAAAAAUCUAUCCAUGAAAAAAGAAUGGGGAGAGGUAUUGUGACCUUAAUUUUGUGCUCUGAAUCCCUCUGUAAUGUCGUUAGCCCAGAGAGGCCCGGUGUAAUUCAGGAAGGUACAAUGAAGCCUGACUCCAUAAAGGCUUAGUAUUCUACAUUAUGUAGAGUGACUGACCCCAUCACCAGCACUACUGGACCUAAGUAGCAUUUAAGACAUCUGGAAAACAAGACCACAGUAGGUUAUGAAACACAGCUCCCAUGGCUCUCAUCCAACUGUUCUUUUUGUUAAUGGCAUAAUAAUCUUUGAGAAGAACCAGAGUUUAAUAUAUCUGAACUUGCUCAGACUCUGAAACACUUCCAAUCAUUGCUGGAUUAAGUACAUACUCCUAAUAAUAAAUCAUGUUGUACUUAGCAUUGCUUGUUUUGUCAGUCAGCAAAACAAAUACGUGCUACAGAUGCAUAUAAACAAAACCUGUGAAGCUUAAAGAAACUAAAUUAUGGAUUGAUUAUUAGAAUCAUUGUUUUGUUUGUUUGUCUUUAAUUAAAAAAAGAAUUGUUUUUCUUUUCCAAGAAAACAAACGCCUUAACAUGAGGGACUGUUAAUGAGACAAUAAAACUGUACAUUGUCUCUUGGCACCGGAAUCCUUUUUGACCGCUUUGCAAAGCAUCCAAAAAUGUUUGAGAGUUUCUCCCUUGUUUAACUGACUCUUCUAAACUCAAGCAUUACGUAAAUAGAGAGCAUUCUCAGGCAGUUGUCGUGAGCAGGCAGUAGGUGCAUGGAUACUGACUGUGAGAAAGAGGACCUUUCUUUAAAUAUUUGAGUACUACUUAAAGUUAAGAGAAUUGCUUGUAACCAAACUGUGGAAGACACAGCUCUUACAUUAUGUGCUUCUACGUGAUGUUUAUCCAGUUCCACCAAGACGCUUUAAAUGUACUAUUAUAAUCUCUCAGUAUUUUAUGGUUUAAAAAAAUAUUGACCUUUUUGUCCAUAUGACUUUUGUGGAACGCUGACGAUAAAUGAAAAAUACAGACCAAGAGACUUAAGCUGCAGCCUUAAUUCCACACAAAUCCUUAAGGUAAAAUUAAUCA
ensembl:lncRNA